UAUUAUUUAAUAAAAUAGUAAAGACCAUAGCUUUUAAUCUGGUGGUAGUGUUCUCUUCUACCAUGUCAGAUUCAGAAUGCGUCUCUCUAUUAAUAACCAGGCAUGUUCAAAUGUGGGUAGAAGUUUUUCUUGACUGUUUAAAAGCAUCUACUGUAAAAAAGUUCCAUAUUUCUGCCUUUUGUAUCUUGAAUAGCCUCAGUGCAUUAUACCUCUUGUAAAUGUCCGUGGAAUGGUUGCUUUUUUUCCAAACUUUUGUCAUAUAAAAGAGAACAUGCUCUGUGAGGCCAUUGCCCAAAAUGGUUGAAGCUCUGAUUUUGGAAAGCACUGGUUCUGCAGAUUAGUUCAUUGAAACGGUGCACUGUUGCGUAAGCGCUAAUGUAAACCUCCCCAGCCUGGAUUUCACUCUGCUGCAGUUCAUGAUUAAACUGUGCUGUCACAGCUGGAAGAAACCACAGGCUGUGUUUCUCAGUGUUUGUUCAGAGAAAGAAAAUAAAAUCUGUUCUAAUGUACACACGUCUGGGCACAUUGCUAAUGAGGGAGUGCCAAAUUUAAUUUGUUAGAAUAUUUUAACAUAAAACCAUAUUUGUAUAUUUGGAGUUAUGUGAACUCCAGACACUGUACAGGGUCUUUUGGAUUUUAUUUUCUUUCAGUUUAGCUCAUCUGGUUUACAUUAUUAAAGUACUACUUUAAACAAAUGAGCUGGAAACUAAUUCUAAUUCAGGAGUCGUGCUGCAAAGUGUAGCCUUUUUUUUUUUUUUUUUUUACUUUUACUGCAUUGUUGAUUAUCUGUCUCAUGCAGGAAAUACAUCCCAAAGCUGAAGGACUAUCCCAACAGAUACAUUUACGAGCCGUGGAACGCACCAGAGUCUGUUCAGAAGGCGGCCAACUGCGUGGUGGGCGUGGACUACCCCAAACCCAUGAUCAACCACGCCGAGAGCAGCCGCCUCAACAUCGAGAGGAUGAAGCAGGUCUACCAACAGCUCUCCCACUACAAAGGCCUUAGUCUGCUAGCAUCUGUGCCCACCAUACAGGAGGAGGCAGAGCCCCCUCUUUCGGACGAUUCUCAGGCCAGCAGCAGUGGUAAGAAUCGAACACUAUACUAGACAUCCUGAUUGGGAUUUAUAGAACUAGACAACACAAUACAAUGCAUAUAAACACAAUAAAUAAUCACACAAAUAUCCA
rnacentral:lncRNA from 1 species